AUUGAACGCUGGCGGCAGGCCUAACACAUGCAAGUCGAGCGGAUGAAGGGAGCUUGCUCCUGGAUUCAGCGGCGGACGGGUGAGUAAUGCCUAGGAAUCUGCCUGGUAGUGGGGGAUAACGUCCGGAAACGGGCGCUAAUACCGCAUACGUCCUGAGGGAGAAAGUGGGGGAUCUUCGGACCUCACGCUAUCAGAUGAGCCUAGGUCGGAUUAGCUAGUUGGUGGGGUAAAGGCCUACCAAGGCGACGAUCCGUAACUGGUCUGAGAGGAUGAUCAGUCACACUGGAACUGAGACACGGUCCAGACUCCUACGGGAGGCAGCAGUGGGGAAUAUUGGACAAAGGGCGAAAGCCUGAUCCAGCCAUGCCGCGUGUGUGAAGAAGGUCUUCGGAUUGUAAAGCACUUUAAGUUGGGAGGAAGGGCAGUAAGUUAAAACCUUGCUGUUUUGACGUUACCAACAGAAUAAGCACCGGCUAACUUCGUG
rnacentral:rRNA from 1 species